AACCGCAAAGGGCUCAGUAAACCAGUUUUAAUUUACUAGAGUUUUUACGUUUCGUACGUGGAUACCUGUGGUAAUUCUAGAGCUAAUACAUGCAAUUAAGUCCGGACCAGAAAUGGAAAGGACGCUUUUAUUAGAUCAAAACCAUUCGCCCGACUUGUUUGGGCGUUGUUUUGGUGAAUCUAGAUAACACUUGAGAUCGUACAGUCAUUGUACUGACGACAUCUCUUUCAAACGCCUGACUUAUCAGCUGUCGAUGGUAGACUCUGUGUCUACCAUGGCCCUCACGGGUAACGGGGAAUCAGGGUUCGAUUCCGGAGAGGGAGCCUGAGAAACGGCUACCACAUCCAAGGAAGGCAGCAGGCACGCAAAUUACCCACUCCCGGCACGGGGAGGUAGUGACAAAAAAUAACGAUACGGGACUCUAUUGAGGCCCCGUAAUCGGAAUGAGUACACUUUAAAUCCUUUAACAAGGAUCCAUUGGAGGGCAAGUCUGGUGCCAGCAGCCGCGGUAAUUCCAGCUCCAAUAGCGUAUAUUAAAGUUGUUGCGGUUAAAAAGCUCGUAGUUGGUUCUGCGUGCCGCGCUGUCGGUUCGCCGCCUGUCGGUGUAACUGGCAUGUCGCGGCAUGUCCUGUCGGUGGUGAACGAUAUUCCUCGACGCAAGCUGAGGCUUAACUGCCAAAGAUUGUGUCGUGUGUAAUGUCGUUUGCCGAUUUCUCCUACUCCGGUGCUCUUAAACGAGUGUCGAAGUAGGCCGACACGUUCACUUUGAACAAAUUAGAGUGCUUAAAGCAGGCUAAAAUAUCUGCCUGAAUAGUGGUGCAUGGAAUGAUAAAAUAGGACCUCGGUUCUAUUUUGUUGGUUUUAGGAAUAUGAGGUAAUGAUCAAUGUGGACUGGCGGGGGCAUUCGUAUUGCGACGUUAGAGGUGAAAUUCUUGGAUCGUCGCAAGACGCACUAGAGCGAAAGCAUUUGCCAAGUAUGUCUUAAUUGAUCAAGAACGAAAGUUAGAGGUUCGAAGGCGAUCAGAUACCGCCCUAGUUCUAACCAUAAACGAUGCCAGCCAGCGAUCCGCCGAUGUUCCUAUAAUGACUCGGCGGGGAGCUUCUACCCGGGAAACCAAAGCUUUUGGGUUCCGGGGGAAGUAUGGUUGCAAAGCUGAAACUUAAAGGAAUUGACGGAAGGGCACCACCAGGAGUGGAGCCUGCGGCUUAAUUUGACUCAACACGGGAAACCUCACCAGGCCAGGACAUUGGAAGGAUUGACAGAUUGAUAGCUCUUUCUUGAUUCAG
rnacentral:rRNA from 1 species